UAGGCAUCCCGCCCCUUGUCCCUUCCUCACGCCGCACACCCGAUCUCCCCCGAAGCCUCUGCAUGUCCCUUUGUCGUCUACUUGCGUUUGUUCUGCGCCAAAACCCUACGGAUUUCAUUCAGAAAUGUCUUCGCAUGUGCAUUUCCCCCUAUUUCCUGUCCAUUGGCGCCUAAACCUUGUUGCAUACCUUUGCAUGUGCGUUGCUCAUGUAUUUUCAUUCCUUCUGCGCCAAAACCCUACGGAUUUCAUUCAGAACUCCGAGGAAUGUCUUCGCAUGUGCAUUUCCCGCCUAUUUCCUGUCCGUUGGCGCCAAAAUCUUGUUGCAUACUUUUGCAUGUGCGUUGCUCAUCUAUUUUCAUUCCUUCUGCGCCAAAACCCUACGGAUUUCAUUCAGAACUCCAAGGAAUGUCUUCGCAUGUGCGUUUCCCGCCUAUUUCCUGUCCAUUGCCGCCAAAAUCUUGUUGCAUACCUUUGCAUGUGCAUUUUCCGCCUAUUUUCUUUCACUUGGCGCCAAAAUCCUGCGUGUCUUCGUCUCAAACUUAUUUCUAGCAUAUUUCCGGUCUUCUGGCGCCAAAAUCUUGUUGCAUACCUCUGCAUGUGCAUUUCCCGCAUACUUCCUUUCACUUGGCGCCAAAAUCCUCCGUGUCUUCGUCUCAAACUUAUUUCUAGCAUAUUUCCAGUCUUCUGGCACCAAAAUCCUACGGAUUUCGCCCAAAAUUUUGCUGCAUACCUUUGCAUGUGCGUUGCUCAUCUAUUUUCAUUCCUUCUGCGCCAAAAUCCUAAGGGUUUCAUCGAAAGUUCCGAGGAAUGUCUUGGCAUGUGCAUUUCCCGCCUAUUUCCUUUCACGUGGCGGCAAAAUCCUGCGUGUUCUUGUCUCAAACUUGUUUCUAGCAUAUGUCCAGUCUUUUGGCGCCGAAAUCCUACGGAAUUUGUCCAAAAUCUUAUUGCAUACCUUUGCAUGUGCGUUUCUCAUCUAUUAGCAUUCCCUCUGCGUCAAUUUCCUACGCAUUUCCGCCGAAGACUUGUUCCUCACAUGUUUUCAUUCAGUUGGCAACAAAAUCUCAUGGAAUACACCUUGAUACGUGCUUUUUGCUUUCCUUCGUUCACUUGCUUUCAAAAUCUCUUUAGUUCCCGCCAAAUAUUUUUUGAAUACGCCCACUUGUGUUUUGUCCGUUUAUUUCCAUUCUCUUGGCGCCAAAAUCCUACAAAAUGCUGGCAGACACUCGCUUUCCGCUGUGUCCGAUUCACCUGGCGCCAAAAUCCAAUAAAUUAUCCUUGCAACCUCAUGAAAUGCUUCUUGAUACGUGUUUUCCACCUUUUCCGUGUAAUUGCAAUUGUUCUGCGCCACAGUUCCACAGCUUUCCACCAUUCAUGCGUUAAACAUCUAUUUCUGUCACGCUAUUGGUGCCAAAAUGAGCAGCACCUCAGCCAAUCAGGCGUUUGCUGGCAAAUCUGGCGAAAAUGCCAUCAGGUAUCAUACGAUCCUACUAAAAUUUUAGAUGAUCCCAUUCCAUUACUGAUGAACUACCGACUAUUAGUCGUAUUUUAGUACCCACAUCUUGGCAUUUGACUCGCACUUGUUUCAGUUCGCUUCGUCAAAUUAAACGGAUUUCUGCCAACAUGCAUUAUCCGCCCUUUUUUCAUUUUUUUGCUAAGAGAUGCACUCCUACACCUCUUAUCGGCUGACCUGAUUGGAUCACCUCUGAGAUUUCUAAUACUCCGAUGAAAUUUUGGGAGACUUUGAUGAACGGUAGAUUCCCAGGUGACCAUCUGUCAACCUCCACACCCAAUUUCAACAUCUGGAUUUCGACUCACAUUCUGAAACUGUGAGCAUCUAUGCAGAAAUUUCAGAAAGCUGAUCAUUCGCAUUAACCACGCUCUCUUAUUUCUAUGCAUGUGUCCCGUUUUCUAUAAGAAAAAAGAGAAGUUUCAAGUCACUGCAAGUCUGUGGAGCUCUUAAAUCCAGCUCACCUAAAAAUGCAACAUGCUCAUGGUUUUUAAUGCAGCUGGGGAAAAGAUGUUAGUGAAUAGAUGAGCUUGCACACUACUUUACAUAAUGUAACAUUGCCCAGUAUUACAGAGGGUGACGAAGUUCUCAAUGUAAUAACUUGUUAAUGACUCAAGCGACGAUAAACCACCUGUAAAAGACAUUGGUUUUACACAACUCGACUAAUGUAUUAAUUUUGUACUUAAGAAACAACUCUCUACGCUACUGGAACACAUUCUAUCAGAGCGAUUGAAUUUUUUCAUAUUUCUUGAUGCGAUUUGGUGAUAAGUCGUGAGUAGCAACACUUUUGGAAACCCGUCCCUUUAAUUCUCAUUAUAGGUGUCGCUCUGAUCAAAAUUUGUGCAUUUCUGCUUCUUAUCAAGAACCUAUCUACAAAUUAUCCACACAUCAUUGAUGACGUUAUAGUUAUUGACGAUUAACGAAUUUAAUUAUUCGUUAUCAGAAUGCCUUUGUCUUUCACGCCACGUAUCCAGUUGUGCAGUUAUCCAAACCUUGCUUUCGUGUCUCCGUAAAUUUCUCUUGAUUGACUUCUCCAGCUUUCAGUCAGUCUUUCCGACGACUGCUCGAAAAAAAUAGCUUCUAUAAUCUCCUUACCAUGUCCUCAUCUCUCACGCUUAGAAUACCUCCUCUAGAAAUAAACCAAAUAAACCUCCAAAAUACCAUAUUUUCUCCAAUUUUUUCCUGCAUCUUUUCUUUCAUUCCCAUGCAAAGCUUUGAGCACUUUUUCAGCGCGAUUUGUAUGUUUUAAGUGUGAAAUUACUACACUUGCAUUGACAUCACUUCACUCUUUUCGGCACAGUAUUUUGUUUUUUUAAAAAAUAAAUUGAACUCCUUCAUUCUUCCUGUCUCUCUUUGGCUGCGUUUCGCACUAUUACCCUUGAGAAUACUUUAAGUCAUAAAACUGGCUACCUUAUUUCCACCCUACGAGUACACUCAAGACUUCAAAGAUCAAAAUUGCUCUGAGGUCGAGGCAAUUUUGUUGAAUCAAUAAAUGUCAGCUUGGCAUCACUUUUCGAGUGCUUUGAAGAGUGUGGUUUCAGUUGGGAGGUGGUCCGUUCAGCUUCAAAGUAAAAACUAUCAUUCCAUUGAAGGGAAGUUCCAGAAGGAGUUCCAGCGGACGUUCCGGUGCUGGCGGCGGCUGCGUGGCGGGAUUACUCGAGGGCGGGGCCGCUUAGGGCGCGGGGUCCUGCGGGGUCAGCACAGCCGGAGCAGCACCUAUGCGUGCCGCU